CGUGGAAGUUGCAAAGCCAACUUCGCAAGCCGCUUACUAAAUUACCAAACUACUGAACAUAAACUCGUAAUUUUAUAGAGUCUUACUAACAUAGCCAACUAAUUGAACGUAUUUCUUAAAUGCUUUAAUAAAUAGAAAAUUUGUUGGUCAUGUUAAUAAUAAAUUCGUCAAAUUUGUUGGCCAUGUUAGUGAAACACUGCAAAUUCCGAUCAAUACUUCGGUACUUUUGUGAGCAACUUGCGAAGUUAGCUUUAAUGCAAUUUCCACG